rnacentral:ncRNA from 2 species
CGUAGAAUCUCCGCCGUUGGUGCUCGCGGCGUGGUUCACAGGCCGCAGUUCAACGGGAAGCAGGAAGGCGCGUCGUUUCGCGGCUAGCCCAACCUGCGCUGCCCCCGCAACGGUAAGUGGACGCGCCUCGAAUCAACAACGAGGCGCCGCUUCCCUCAAUGGCCACUGACAGCCCUGAACAAGCCGUCGGGAAGGCGAGGAAGGUCGUUUCCACCAGCCCGGAUACCGGCCAACGAGGUGGAUGCGCG